rnacentral:lncRNA from 10 species
AGGGGAAGGUUAGAAUGCCAUCCUUCUGGAACACCCUGAGAAGUCCAGGUAGGAAGAUGAAAGGAAACGACACAGCACUUGAGUAUUUUUUUCCCCUAAAGCUUUGCUAAUUGUGGAUCAACCCUGGCUACAAAUCAGUAAUCUCCUUUCAUGGUGAUAUUGUCAUUGCAGCAGUUUCUAUGCUCACACCAACAUUCUUCAGAAUCCAGGGCAGAGUAGAGCACAAGUGUCUGGGGAUUCCUCGCGAAAGUCCUGGGGUUCACUGUGUUUGACUGACCUGGGUCACAUGCUUAACAGCUACACCUCUUAGAGGAGCCACGUCUCCCGAUGCAUCUGGAUUCCAAAUGGAAAUUAGCAGGUUUGAAAAGGAAAAAGAGAUGUCCCCAGAGUGUCCAGAGCGGAAGGGCAUGUGAAUUGUUUCCAUUUUAUGGUACUUAUGAAUAAAACUGCUACAACAUCCAUGUCCAGGUUAAAAAUGAUUAUAAGUUUUCAUUUCACCUCAUUCUUCAAAGCCAACUACCCUAAAAUAUGGACGACUUUAUGUAUCAAGUGACUAAUGUGAUCAUCAGCAUAAAUAAUGGAGUCUCCGUAUGUUCUGAACCUCGAGGGAGCUGUACAGAUUG